rnacentral:rRNA from 1 species
AACGCGAAGAACCUUACCUGGGCUCGAACGGCUGGUCAACGCCGGUGGAAACAUCGGUACCCCGCAAGGGGGUCCAGUCGAGGUGCUGCAUGGCUGUCGUCAGCUCGUGUCGUGAGAUGUUGGGUUAAGUCCCGCAACGAGCGCAACCCUUGUCCUGUGUUGCCAUGCCCGAAAGGGCGGAACUCGCAGGAGACCGCCAGCGAUAAGCUGGAGGAAGGUGGGGAUGACGUCAAGUCAUCAUGGCCUUUAUGUCCAGGGCUACACACGUGCUACAAUGGGCGGUACAAAGCGCUGCAAACCCGCGAGGGGGAGCUAAUCGCAAAAAACCGUUCUCAGUUCGGAUCGCAGGCUGCAACUCGCCUGCGUGAAGCUGGAAUCGCUAGUAAUGGCGUAUCAGAAUGAUGCCGUGAAUACGUUCCCGGGCCUUGUACACACCGCGCAUA